rnacentral:rRNA from 1 species
GACGAACGCUGGCGGCGUGGAUUAGGCAUGCAAGUCGAACGGUAGGAUACCUUCGGGUAUCUGAGAGUGGCGAACGGGUGAGUAACACGUAGGUGAUCUACCCUCAAGAUUGGGACAACCCAGGGAAACUUGGGCUAAUACCGGAUGAAAGCAGCAGUGAUGUUGUUUGAAAGGUGGCGUAAGCUGCCGUUUGGGGAUGAGCCUGCGCUCUAUUAGUUAGUUGGCGGGGUAAAGGCCCACCAAGGCGAUGAUAGAUAGGCGGCCUUAACGGGUGGUCGCCCACACUGGGAUUGAGAUACGGCCCAGACUCCUACGGGAGGCAGCAGUCGAGAAUAGUCUACAAUGGCCGAAAGGCUGAUAGUGCGACGCCGCGUGAACGAAGAAGCCCUUCGGGUGUAAAGUCUUUUAUAUGUGAGCAGUGCUUUCUAUGUGAACAGCAUGGGGAGAGAGAUAUUAGCAUAUGAAUAAGCAACGGCUAACUCCGUGCCAGCAGCCG